GGGUUAGCACUGGCCAGAUGUUAAUGCACCCGUGAGUGUAUGUUUUUCCUAAUGAGCUACUGUGAGAUGUGGUCAAGAACAGAGCAGAGCAGGCCCAAAACUUGAAAACAGAGAACAAAACUUUAUUACAUUACAUAAGAACAGAAAUAGAAAGGAAAAUUCUAAACACACACAAAAACAGAAAUAAAAACUUCCCAGAACAUUUCUUCUCCCCCCCCAUUUUCCACCCCCUACACAUUACCCUCCAUAGACCAAAACCUUGGGUUUUAAAUCAAACAAUCACCACUCAAAAAAACUAAUCUUCAAUUCAGCAAGGGAGAGAGCAGUCUCUCUCGCACCACAGACUGCUCUUCAGAAAACACAGGUCCACCCUUUAUGUGUUUCCAUGUCACCCGUGGCACCGCCCGGAGAAGUCUGCCGGGGUGACACCCUCCUUUCCAUGUGCAGUGCUCUCACCACUGUCCAUGGGCUAAAGCUGCAUAUAUGGCUCUUUUAAGGAUGCUUGCAUGCCAAGCUCUCCCCAUCUUUCCCCUGGGGUGGAGAGUUCCAAGAACAGAUUUUCCCUGAGGGCAGAGGGCGCCACCACACCUUCCCCCUCUCUUCUCUGUUUGCUCCACUCCUAAAGUGUCAGUCACUGUAGCAAAAGUAGAGGCAGCUGUAUCCACCCAAAUGCAGUUUAUGUUCAAAAGAGACUCUGGUUCAGUCUAUGGCUAACAUUAUGCAAGAAAAGUCCAGCUCAAAAGCCACUCCUCUUCAAUCUCUGCCCAUCUAGAGUUCUUUUCAUCUUCCUUUAUCAUCUCGGUCCCAGGCUGUUUCUCUUUCUCUUCUGAAACCACUAGCCAUGAGAAUCAAUGUCUGGGAAAAAGUUUCCUUCUGCCAGACUAGGCACCUCUUUACACAGCCGGGAACUUCUCCUCUCCGCUCCCCCCCUCUUUCUUGGCUGCUGGCUGCUGCCAAUGUUCAAAACUCUGAAGCAGCAGUCUCUCUCCUUGGGGGGAGACGGGGGGGACGGAAGGCUCCUCCAAAGUUCUCCACACCUCCAUCCUGGAUGGGGCUGGCCCAGCUCCUACCCAGUGGCCCAGCCUGGGUAGGGGAGGAGGGAAAAGAUGCUCCUCUCCUGAAAGCAGAGCCAGAAAGAGCAAGUCCCUCUGGGAGGCCUUGCUUUUAACCCCUUGUGUCCUCGGAGGCAUGUCCAACCCCUCAGUGGCCACUAAAAGUGCCAACAUUCAGACCUGACCACUGAUUGGUUUGACCACAGCCUCCUGAAAAACUCACUUCCGCACAAACCAAGACACUCUCAAUCGAUGACAUCAAGGCAAAUGAGUUGCUGCUUUGAAAUGGAAAAGAAAAUUCAAAAUAUUUCACAUUGUCAGGCCAUUCCCAUUAAUUCUGGAAGUCUGCAACUUUUUGGAACUACUUCAGUUGAAUAAUGGGAUAUCAAGUCUCAGGGUUGCUGUUCCCUGAGAUUCUUCUCGGGGUUGCUGUUCCCUGAGGUAAUAAGGUUUUCGGGACUCUCUCUCCUUCUCAGGCAUGCUGUUCCCUGAGAUUCUCCUCGGGGUUGCUGUUCCCCAAGGUAAUAAGGUUUUCUCCCAGGGUUGCUGUUCCCUGAGGCAAUAGGGUUUUCUCUCAGGGUUGCUGUUCCAUGAGAUUCUCCUUGGGUUUGCUGUUCCCAGAGGCAAUCAGGCUUUCGAGCUUCUCUUGCCCAAAGGGUCUCACGCUGGAGCCAGAGAAGACAAGCUGAGUCUGCUAGUGCAUGUUUCCAAGGUUGUUUAUUCUUCAUUAUCUCUCAGUUCUUUCUCAGUUCUGCCAGGCCUCCCUGGCAGGGUACUUUAUCUUAGUUCUUUCUCAGCUCUGCAAGACAUCUCCAGCAGAGCAGGACACGCGGUAGACUGGGGUGGAUCAGAGGGUCCCGGACCCUUUGUACCAUUCCCUGAUCCAACCACCAUCCACAACAAACGUUUUAUUUACAGAAUCUUACCAAUACUUACUACCUAUGUUAACAUGUCAUUUCUACUCUAAACCAAUCCUUGUAAUACAACUCAGCAAAAAAUGGGAGAAAAGAACAAGAACAGGGGGGACAGGACCACUCCCCAAUUCCUCCAUCUUGCCUCUUCAAACCCAUGUACUAAAAAUCCCAGAUUCUACAUUUAUAAUCUGUGAUAAACUAACUACUACUUAUUUUGAAUUCUCUCAGCUUGUGAUUCUUCAUACAACGUGGGCAUUCACUCCCAUGGCCAGGGAUCAGAGGCAGUGUCCUCCUGGGCUCUGUGUGAGGCUGGCUGACCCCCUUGUACAGAUCCCAAACCCCCCCGUCCAGACUCCAAACCCUCCAGAGUGGCCAGAGGGAUGUUCUAGACUCCAACAAUCAAGCUUUCCUGAACUGGAGAUUCUUCAAGGCCAAAUUCUUCUGUGCCUUCCCUGCAAGGGCCGUUUUGUGCUACAGGAAAUAACCCUAAUGAGAAAACAAUUCCAGCAUGGACUAACAGCUUCUGAUAGGGACCAAGAGUUGCCAGCAGUUGCUCCAGGUGCUCCUGCCAACAGCCCCUGUAGGAAGGAGCACAGCCCCCAAGGCACGUUGGCUUUGCCUGCCUCUGGCAGAGAAGCCCCCAGGGCACAGGUCUCUGGGGCAGGAGAGGACACUGCCAGGGCUCAGGGGGUGGCAGGUGUGCUUGGGCAGGGACUCUGCCACACCUGCUGAUUUCAGUGCUCUCCUGGCCCCAGGGCUCAGAGCAGCAUUCGUGCCCUGGCCCACACGUUCCUCGUCUGUGUGACACCCGCAGGUUUAGGAUGUCCUCCAGCCAGGACGUGUCCCAAGGAGGCCGUGCCAGCUUCUGGGGAAGGCCCCGUGCCCUUCCCGCUGUGGCUGUAUUGGCAGCCCUGGGGGCUCAUUCUGCUGCCCUGAGCCCACAGAGCAGGGCAGCGUUUGCUGAUGGUUGGAGCCGUUCCUCAAGUUCCUGUGGGGAUGUCUCAGACACUUGGGGCAAGGGAUUCCUUCUAUCCUGGGCCACUUUGGGUGGGCUGGGGGCAGCCCCAAGGAAGGUGGCAGGGUGUGCAAGGGCCCUUUGUGACACGGUGCAGCAUGGUCACCAUGGGAUGCAAUGGGACAGGGUGUCACACGGGCCCUUUGUGACACGUGGUGACAACGGUGCUGGCGGUGGUGCAGCCACCGUGCUUGGAGCAUGCAACGAGACAGGACGGGACAGAGCAGUGCUGAGAGGAGCCCCCCCACAGCACACUCAUUCCUGUCUUACUCGGAGCUUUUCUGAGCCGUUAUUCCUGCAGGUGACCUCGAGGCCAGACCACAGCACUUGGUGACCUGUGGCCUACCCGAGACUUCUCUUUUGCAGGUGCCCUUGUGGACGUGUUAACUCAGAACUUUCCUGAGGCAUCCCUCUAGGAGGUACCCUCAAGGCCAAACAUGGCAGACAGGUUUCAUGGCCUGUUCAAAGUCUUCAGGGGGUCACAAAAGAAAGACCCUGGAGCACAACAGCCUGAAGAGCCAGAGCAGUACCAGCCAGUGGAGGACAGUGAGUGACAGAGCUGGGCCACAGGGCUGAUGGCUGCAGCCAGCUUGGCCCCAUCCCAUCCCAGCCACUGUGGACAUGCCCAUGCACAGGACGGAAGAGGCACUGGGGCUGAACCCCGCAGUGGCCGUGCUCCAUCCCCUGGGGCAUCCCGGGGCUGUCCCUGCCUGGCGAGUUCAUGGCUGGGCUCUGUUCUCCGGCCUCUCCUGCAGCCCCUCAGCUCUGGCUGCUCUCACUCUUUGCCAGGUGCAUCCAUGGAACAGACACAAGAGCAGGACCCCGCCUGUGGCUGCUUCCGCAGGAUACUGGAGGUACCUGCAGCCAUCCCCACCUGGGCUGGGCUGCUGUCACUGCUCAGCCCAGCACCGCGCUUGGAGCACUCCAUGGAACAUCUCUGGCAUCCUAUCCUUUGUUCUCCUGCAGAUGUUCACAAAGUUCAUCUGCAUUCGACGUAGAAGGACCAGCACCACAUCAACUGAGGACACAGCACAGCUUAACUCUAGGCUGACCAAGUUUCAGGCAGAGCCUGAUGUCAGCACAGAUUGGACUGCACGCUCAGAAAAUUCUGACACUGUAAGUAAUGAUCACAAUGUGAAGGCUGUUCUCCUGUCAAUGACUGAGUGCAUGGUCAGCACAAACACUGACACCAGAAAGACUCAAGGCAUCACAAAUACUGCCAUCACACCCACUCCCACUGUGGUUCAUGCUCCCACUAUGGAUUUUUUUGAGGAGAGUGCUUUUUCUCCUCAGCAGCAGGUAAGCAGCCUGGGGUCAGGCCUGGAGGCCUCCCAGGAUCAUGGGCCCCCUCAAGCCAUGGCCACUGGGCACCCUCAGCCUUUGAGGCCAGCACAAAGUGAGGCCUGGAGGUGCCGGGAAGGGAAGCACUUCUUGGAGGAAGCUGGGGAAGUUGCUCCUUUGGAAGGUUCUCCAAGUGUUCCCCAUGCCUCUUUCAGGUGCCAGCCAUUGUAAGGAACAUUCACCGGAGACUGGCAUCCCAUGUCACUGUGAAUGCCAGGCUGCAAAUUGACAUUCUGAGGCUGGCUGAAGAACACCCAGCUGAUGUGGUGCUGACCCUCCUGCACUGUGCCCCAACGUGUGACAGGUACAGGGUGUACCUGCCUUGAGAGCUCAGGGCUCACCAGCCUUUAGGGCCCAUCGCCCUGCACAGCCUGUGCAAUGGGGUGUGCCAGACAGGCAGAGAGGUCCAGGAGCCUCGGGCCUCUCUGUUUCCCAAGCCUGCUGCCAAUGCUCCCUCCCUGCCCUUCAGGGCACCAGGGCUCUGUCACCUGUGCCCCAGAGCUGCACAGGGCAUGGCAGUGUGACUGAGACGCCCCUGACACAGAGCUCUGAUCCCACAGAGCUGCUGCAAUGAUCUGGAGAGCCAUAGGCUCAUCAGGACCAACAGUGGAGAAGGUGCUGGCAACACUGGUCUGUGUAAUGGAGCACUGGCCACUGUACAGGAUGUGCACCUCUGAUGGGGACAAGAAGGAAGUUUUUGCCCUGGCUGUGAGUUUCUGCGCCUGUGCUCACCACCAGGCUGCCUCUCCAGCAGCUCUCCAUCCUCUCCCUGCCUCAGGCGCUGAAACCUGGGCUAGGGGCAGGCUCAGGGGGCACCAGGCCCGCUGCUGCCCCUGUGUCUCCUCUUGGACCCUGACACCUCGGCACUGAGCGCUGUCUCGGGCUGCUUCUAUUUCAGGCAACUCUGGUGCUCUGGGUGAUUCUCCAGGUGCCUGAGUGCCACGAGGCAAUGACCCUUUAUUCCUCCCGCCUGUUUGUGGCUCUGCUCUUCCAUGUUGUCAUCACCACACAGCAGAAGCCACCCAAGGAAGUUGAUAACUUCUGGAGGGCAUGCCGGGAGGAACACCGCCUUCCCAGCAAUCCCAACAGGUUCCAGUCCUCCCAUCCUUCCCAUGCCCUUGUGGCCAGUACCAGUGCUCCCAGUGUGACCUGGGCUUUGCUCUGCACACAGGUUUGCAGUGCAGGCCAUGAAGGCUCUGCUCUACCAGCUGCAGUGUGACAGAGAGGUGAUGGCCAUGGAGUGCAAGUGUGGCUGGGACACGCUGCUCUGUGCUGACACCCAGCACUAUGCCGUGGGUCUGCUGGCCAGGUGAGAGCCCCUUCUCCCCGCUGUCCCCAGCACUUGUGCCCUGUGCCCAGGGUGCCCCACACAGUCCCUGUGGUCAUGGGCCAGAGGGCCUCAUAGUGAUGAGGGAAGGCCAAGCAGACUGGGAAAGGCUGGGAGAGGAGGAUGCCCAGGAUGGGCCACCGCCCAAGUGCCCACGUUCACUUCAGGGAUGCUGGGGAAAGACUGGACUUCUGUGAGUCAGUCCUCUCCCCGAGAGGUUUGCCACCUCCACCUCAGGGUCUUUUUCUCCUGACAGGGAGAUGCGCUGUGACUUGAUCUCUUUGUGUUCCCGCAUUGCAUUUCACCUGCUCCGGCUGCUCAGCAUUAAGCAGCCAAGCUGGGAUCUGAUUGCCCUGGCAUUCCUUGUGGAGGUGAGCCUGAAGACCAGCGCUGCCUCGCUGAGCUGCCUCCCAGCUCUCUGCCCCCUUGUAGCCGCUGCUGCCUGGGACGGUGCCCGUGCCCUGUGCUGCUGCCUGGGCCCGGCCCUGUGUGGUUCUGGACUCCUGCCGGCGGGUCUCCUGUCACUGCGCUGUGCCUUUCAGGUCCUCGAGUGCAUGGAUUUGACUACAUGCCGUGCCAGCAUCAUCAAGGUCAUGUUCAAGUACCUGCUGGGCGAUUGCAGGGAGAGGCGUCGCCUGGCACUCAGAGGCCUCGUGGUGCUCAGCAAGGAUCCCUUCAUGGUGAGAAGGUGGCAGCAGAUGAAGCUGUACUGGGGAAAGCAGCCCCUUGGACUGGCUGGCCUUCAGGAGCUGAGGCAGCUACUCCCAGCUCUCCUGCCUCACCUGCCUGAGUGCUUUGGACAGGCCUUUGGGCUCUGGGCCCUGCGGCAGCAGGGUGCGGUUGCAGUGCCAGGAUGGCGUUGGCAGUGCAGCCGUUUGUGGCUUCACAGCACAGCCUUGUGUUCCACACAGGCCAGAAUAAUGUGCCAUGUGUCUCCAAGCCUGCUGGAGCUGCUGGAUGAUGUAGAUGGAGAGGUGGUCAGCAUGUCCCUCCGUGUGUUCACUAAUGUGCUCAGGAACGAAGGCAUCCGGGUAUCGAGCGCCACUGCCCCAAAGCUGGCUGAGGCACUCCUGGCGCUCUUUGACCACGUGAGAUUCUGCAUCCUGAACCACAGGAAUUGGGUGCUUCCCAGUGCCGUCUGCAUUUUCAGACCUUUGCCUGGGUGGGCUAGGAGUAAUUGGUGCUUAGGUUUUCUCCUUUCCUCUAGGACAAUAGCCAUGUACAACUACUCUCCAUUCACCUCUUCUGUAAAGUGAUGGAGUUGGUAGUGGAUGAGGGAAAAAAGCCCCUGAAAGAAAUUGUCAACAAGAGCCUGUACCCACUUUUCAUCUACUGCUAUGAUGAGAACCAGCAUGUGGCAAAGGUGAGGUUUUGUGUGAUGCUGAUGUUCUGCUGGGAAGGGGCUGGGCUGCCUCCUGCCCUGGUGCCUCCAGGGCUGCAGCCUCCUCUGGGCCAUGGCACAGGGACGGGUCCUGUGCCUUGGGCUGCGGUGCCAUAUCUGUGUCUCUGCUGCUCUCCAGGCCUCUCGAGAAACGCUGCAUUGUGCAGCCGGGUUCUUGAAGAGGGGGAAUCUUGAGCAGCUACUGAAGAAGGAGCAGUUGAAGAUCGAUGAGUGUCUGGUAAGGAUGGCCUGGAUGAAGCCCUAGCCUCAAGCUGGAAAGACCCCCUGCCCCUGGUGUUCAGUGUGUGUGGGGCUGGCAGCUGUGGCCCCUGCUCAGUGCUGCACCCAGGGGCGCCAGCCUGUGCCCCACAUGCUGCUCCCUUCCCUGGGCCGCAGGUCUCUUCUCCAGUCUCCUGUGGCCCCGAGCCGGGUGCCGAUGGAGCGCCGGCACAGGGGGGCUGUGGGGCGGGGCGGCACCGCGGCUGCCCGGACAGCAGCCGGCCCUCUGCCCCCUCCAGAGCCCGGCAACAGCGGCUGCUGGCCGGGCCUCAGGGCUGUGCGGGCAGGGGAGGCCGGGGCUGGGCGCAGGGAGAGCCCGGCCGAGGGGUUGAGCCCGCGCCAACUCUUCCCUCCUGCCGCUCUCUCCAGCUGGCUGAGGACAGGAGCCGAGCAGCCAAACACCUGCGCCGGGUGCUACCGUACCUGGAGAACCCAGAGCAGCCCCUGCGAGCAGCGCCCAUCAGGUUCCUGGGAAGGGUCUGGCGGCGCCGUAGGGGACAGCAGGAAGAGCUCCAGGUCCUCAGGGAGGCCCUUCAUGCCCAGAGGCAAGGCGCCAGGCUAUCAUUUUCUAACCUGGAAAAUCAAGCCCAGGUUCCUCAAAGAUCUAAAGACCUAGGGACAUCUUCAGGAUCUAGUGAACCAGUGUCCCAGGAACGUACACGAAACACUGAAGAGGACAUAAACCUCUCGAUGCCGCUGGAGCUGCAGACCUAGCUGAUGCUAGGCACAGUUCCAAUGGCAUCACACCUCACCCUAUUUGUAGAUAACCGUCCCUCUAGCCUUCAGACACUGCCCACUCCCCAUUUUUUUCCCUCCCCUCUCUUCCACCCCUUUUCACAGCUCCCUACCUCUAGCCCUCUUACACUGCCCAUCCCCUUUUUCCCUCCCAGUUCAUCCCUUUGCUUCCCCUUUAAUUAAUAAACAGUUUGACUUCUUCA